rnacentral:ncRNA from 15 species
CGGGUUUGAGGGGAGCAGCAGAGCUUUUGGAAGGAUGCUGGCUGCUGGGUCUCCAGGGAGGCUGCAGAGCAAGGCCUACCUGUGGGACCUCC